rnacentral:piRNA from 1 species
AUGCCUCUAACACAGAUUGUUGCCUGCCU